AGAUUGAACGCUGGCGGCAUGCCUUACACAUGCAAGUCGAACGGCAGCACGGGAGCAAUCCUGGUGGCGAGUGGCGAACGGGUGAGUAAUAUAUCGGAACGUGCCCAGUCGUGGGGGAUAACGCAGCGAAAGCUGUGCUAAUACCGCAUACGAUCUAUGGAUGAAAGCGGGGGAUCGCAAGACCUCGCGCGAUUGGAGCGGCCGAUAUCAGAUUAGCUAGUUGGUGGGGUAAAAGCCUACCAAGGCGACGAUCUGUAGCUGGUCUGAGAGGACGACCAGCCACACUGGAACUGAGACACGGCCAGACUCCUACGGGAGGCAGCAGUGGGGAAUUUUGGACAAUGGGGCGAACGACGUC
rnacentral:rRNA from 1 species